rnacentral:lncRNA from 1 species
AAAGAAGAUAAUUUUGACCAAGAUUUACACUCUGUAAAAGGCAAUAGUAAUUCCGAGCCCGCGACAGAUAGAGUGGUACCACCUCCACCACCGCCACCACCACGACCACGCUACUCACCUCAAAACCUACCAAAUAUAUGGGAUUUGGCCAAGAGAGCACACUUCAGUCCCCAUGCAGUAGUGACAACCAGGCUGCUUCAACUCGCAGAAACCGAGCGGGAGAGGGUGACAGUUCGAAGUCGGAGACAACAUUUACUGAGCCCACCUCCAGCCGCGCCUCCACUCCCUCGCUUUUCUUAUCCUCAGCGAAGCGAUGUCCUCAGUUCAGCUUCAACGCCUAUCAAUACAUGAUAUAUUGUACCGAAAAUCAUACUUACUUUUAAACGAGCUGCGAAGACAUGUCAAACUUGUUUUUUAUAAAAAUAAACUCAAAUUUAACGCUAAAGACCUAUUAAGCUUUAGUAACAUUUCGCCUGCCAUGCAAUGAAAUUGAGAUUUGAGAUCACACUUCCAUGCGUUAUGUUUUAUAAAUAAAAUGCACGCCUGCGCAACGCCUAAUAGAUGAAGAUGCCAUCGAAUGUAAGUAUAAUAUAUAAUAAAAAAUAUGAUAACCGAA